CAGAGUGCAAACGCCAUGCUGGGAGAACCACUCCUCUCUUCAGAGCUGUCAGACGGGGACAUUUAAGUCUGCGGAAGUUGUCUGCUGCUUUUUGUUCAGCUAUGCUCUUCCCACAGAGGUGGAGUCUAGAGGCAGUAGGCCUUGUUGAGCUGUGGUGGGCUCCACCCAGUUCAAGCUUCCCGGAGGCUUUGUUUACCUACUCAAGCCUCAGCAAUGGCAGACGCCCCUCCCCCAGCCAAGCUGCCAUCUUGCAGAUCGAUCUCAGACUGCUAUGCUAGCAGUGAGCAAGGCUCCAUCAGCGUGGGUGCUGCUGAGCCAGGCACGGGAGAGAAUCUGCCGGUUGCUAAGACCUUGGGAAAAGCACAGUAUUUGGGCGGGAGUGUCCCAUUUUUCCAGGUAGUCUGUCACGGCUUUCCUUGGCUAGGAAAGGGAAAUUCCCCGACCCCUUGUGCUUUCAGGGUGAGGUGAUGCCCUGCCCUGCUUCGGCUCACCCUCUGUGGGUUGCACCCACUGUCCAACCAGUCCCAAUGAGAUGAACCGGGUACCUCAGCUGGAAAUCCAGAAAUCGCCUGUCUUCUGUGUGGAUCAUGCUGGGAGCUUCAGACCAGAGCUGUUCCUAUUCGGCCAUCUUGACUCUGACUGUAUUUAUUUUAUUUUGGGAAAUGUGCAGGCAGAGGCAGGCACUGUCGGGAUGGACAUCUUCAGAAAGCAUAUGCAAGUUGUCCUCAGUAUGACCAAUACAAGACGCCUGCAAGAAGAUUCCAUUCCAAGCUGUUAAAGUGCUGCAGUCAAUAAAGACCUGGAGUAUGAGUCUACCUCUGUGCACCACACAGCUGUUGUCAUGCAAGCUAUUUCAAAUACCACUCUGGCAGACAAAGCUCUAAUUUGAGAGAAACACCAGAUAGUUCCACCUAAUAUAAUGAAAUCAGCAGGACUCAAGGCUCUUCACAGUCUCCUCAUUUGCUCUGCUAACAAAGGUUUUGCUGUUGUUCAGGAAGCACUCAUAUUCCCCCAGAAUGUGUUGAGUUCUUUGCUGGGCACGAGGGAUGCGAAGGUAUGUAUGACACUGAAGCCUUGCCUUGGAGGAGCUCACAGUCUAGAGAUGCUGAGAGAUUUAUCUGAAGGCUUAAUUCUGGGCUUAGAAAGAAUUUGAGGGUAGAUUAAUCAGGAACAUCCUGUGAACAGUUACUUAGCUUUGAUUAUCCAUUUCUUGAAUGUUUCUCUUUCUUGAAUAUAUUGUCUUGGACUGUGAAUCCCAUAGAUUUUUAUGUAGCUCAUUUGGGCACAGAAAAAACACUUGAAGUCCAAAGACAAGCCUUCCUUUAUUCAUGUUUCCCAGUGGGAUGCUCUGCAUCUUGGGUAUAUGUAUUGAUUUUCUCCUCACCGAGUGUUCCUUCCAUAUUUAAAAACAUUUGCAGCUGCUAAGGACUGAAUUGUGUCCCUUAAAAAUUCACUUGCUGAAGUCUUAACCCAUAGUACCUUAGAAUAUCAGUGUUUGGAGAUAGAGCGUAAAGAGGUAAUUAAGGCUAAAUGAGGUCAUAUGAGUGGGCCAUUGUUCUUAUAAGGACUCGUGUCCUUAUAAGAAGAGAAAGAGACAUCAGGGAUAUAUGUAUGCAGAGAAAAAGCCUGUGAAGACACAGAAGACAGUCAUCUGCAAACCAAAGAAAGAGGCCUCAGGAGAAACCAAACCUGCCAACACCUUGAUCUUGGACUUUCAGCAUCCAGGACUCUGAGAAAAUAAAUUUCUGUUGUUUAAGUCACCCAUCUGUGGUAUUUUGUUACAGCAGCCUGUAUUAGUUCAUUCUCACACUGCUAUAAAGGACUGCCGGAGACUAGGUAAUUUACAAAGAAAAGAGGUUGAAUUGACUCAGAGUUCCAUAUAGCUGGGGAGGCCUCAGGUAACUUACAAUCAUGGCAGAAGGGAAAGCAGGCACGUGGUGUCAGGUGAGAGAGAGUUUGCAAGAGAGAGCAGGGAAAACUGCCUUAUAAAACCAUCAGAUCUUGUGAGAACUCACUCACUAUCAUGAGAACAGCUUGGGGGAACCUUGCCCCCUGAUCCAAUCACCUCCCACCAAGUCUCUUCCUUGACUCGUGGGGAUCAUGUGGUUUACGAUUCAAGAUGAGAUUUGGGUGGGGACACAGAACCAAGCCACAUCAAGUCCAAGGAGACUCAUACAACAGCUACUUGUGCUUUAUUUUUGGUAAAGAUGCCAAAUUGAGCAGUUAUCACCAAAUUCUUCUCCAGAUUCUGUGCAUGGUACCUCCUGGCCCCCAACCACUCUUUCUGUCUCUAUAACC
rnacentral:lncRNA from 10 species